GAGCAGAACUAACGUACUAUUGUCUGUUGGUCAAACUCAGUUUGACCAGGGAUCUUCAAAUCACUCUGACUAAAAUUCGCAUUCCCAGGAUAGAUUGGGUAAAACUUCACUUACUGCAAGACUUGCUUCUCGAAAGUGAUGCAAUUAAUAUUUCCACAUGUCAGAGGAUUUCUGCAAACUCUCUGCAUGGGAUUAUUUCUGCCAUUAAUACAUAGUUCAUAACUAAAACUCUGUAAUGGGAAUGAGGGAAUGAGUUUAUUAAAGAAAUUGAUUCCCCGACA